UCCACAUCCCAACUGUUUAUGUUUACUUAAGACACAAACAACACAUUUUAAAAACCAAAACGGGCAUUUUGACAUAACUUUGAAUGUGCUCGUCUAUUUAAGUGCAAUAGUCCUAAACCACGGAAAAGUCUGCGGGCUUUGAGCGUGUGGGUACAGAAACAACUCUCUGUCAGACCGCAAUUGUCCUUAAAAUGCUUUGACAACCAGCAGUUUGCUCGUUUGCGCGCGCGUGUGCUUGAAGCGGGAGUGUGGCCCGAGGUCUGACUUGAUCCUGUCACGCUAGAUGUCACAUUCACUGUCGCUUGAGGUGAUAGAGAUGGUAGAGGGAACGGCCUUGUUGGAGAGACUGACCUCCGGGCUUGAGGCGGGACCCAGUCGAUCUCCUGUGGUGUCAUCGUCCCCCAGCGAUCUGAUCGAGACACCAGACAGAACCUGCUGCUGGAGCCUACAGGGACGAAGAAAGACAAUCAGUGUCCAGCCAUGGCAUUGUCCCGUUUGGAUGUAAUCUGGGAUUUGUGGUAACGGAGAAGACCUCUUAUCCUCUGACCCUUCUGGCUUAUCUAUGGCUCGGUCUCUGUCUCUCUCAAUGUUUUCCAGCAGGGAUAAACAAGAUCCAUUCCUCAAUGCUACAAAAUCUCCAAGUCAUCUUUAAAUAUUUGUUUUUAGUUUGUGAUUAUAUUUGAUUUGAAUUUUCAACAUCUUACAGUUGCAUAUACUGUAAAAUAUCCUUAUGAUGCGCAAUUGCAAUAUAAUAAACUUGUCACAUAUAUGCAUCACACAAACAAAGUAAAGAUCUGUCCCCGGAUUUAAAUUAGCAUGGUGAUUAGCAUUUGCAUCACAGGAAUUAAACAACAAACAACCCCCUUAGCUUUUAAACCAUAAUGCAAUAUCUAGUCUAUCCCAGACACAAAUGAGCCAUUUUGGUCUACAUUAACUGUUACCUAGCAACGAGACACACCAGGGCCGGAGAAGCUCCACUUGCCCCUGUUCUGAAAAUCACAAAUCAGUCAAAACCUUAGUAUGACUUAAUGUGGUGACCUGUGUGUUCCUCAAAUUUAACUGACUAUGCUUUUGCUCUGCAGGAUUAUUAUUCACAUAAAAACACAUAAUAAACUACAUUUAAUAAUAGACAUUUACAGAUAAUUAUGCAAUCAAUGUCUUAAAGUAUCUUACAAUGAUCCUAAGCUGCAAAAACAAGAAUUAGCUCGUAAUAUGGGUUGCCUUUGAAUUGAUUUGUAGAAAAGCAGUUUUUAAUUUAUGAUUAAAGGAUAAAGUGCAGAUGGGAAGACUAAUUCCCACUUGGUUUCCUUCAAGAUUUCCUUCAUGUCUCUAGAUCUGAUACCCAUAGGGUUGGCUCACAAAUUGGCACCCCGACUAAACAGCUCCACACCUUUUGUCUGUAAUGACAGUUAACACUAUAAAAAGCUGGGACCAGCAUUGGGUCAAAAAGGGACAAGCUAAAUUAUUGGGUUAAAUUAACCCAGAAAAUUUUUAUAUUUGACUCAACAAUUGGUUAAAACAACCCAGCAUUUUUAGCAUGUAGGCAUGAUGUCAUUUUUUUAAUAUCCACAAUGAUGUCAUUUUUUAUAUAGACAAAAAGCUGUACAAAAAUUAAUCAAGUUAUUAUUUAAAUGAGUUAUUUUUUUAGACAAUCCAGCUUGGUACAAAACAUUUUUAGACAGUGUGCAAUGAUUGUCUUACCCCCAAACAAG